UACAGAGGUGCCGAGCGUUAGGCGGAAUCACUGGGCUUAAAGCGUGUGUAGGCGGACUUCUAAGUACCUUGUGAAAUCCCACGGCUCACCCGUGGAACUGCUGGGUAUACUGGUCGUCUUGAGCCACCUAGGGGCGAGCGGAACAAAUGGUGGAGCGGUGAAAUGCGUAGAUAUCAUUUGGAACGCCAACGGUGAAAACAGCUCGCUGGGGGUGUGCUGACGCUGGAGACACGAAAGCCAGGGGAGCGAACGGG
rnacentral:rRNA from 1 species